rnacentral:rRNA from 1 species
AUUGAACGCUGGCGGCAAGCCUAACACAUGCAAGUCGAACGAGUGGCGGAGGUGUGUGUAAUGUCUGGGACACUCCCUUAUGGAGGGGGAUAACUACUGGAACCGGUAGCUAAUACCGCAUCCCAUCGGAUGUGCCCAGGUGGGAUUAGCUAGUAGGUGGGGUAAAGGCUCACCUAGGCGACGAUCCCUAGCUGGUCUGAGAGGAUGACCAGCCACACUGGAACUGAGACACGGUCCAGACUCCUACGGGAGGCAGCAGUGGGGAAUAUUGCACAAUGGGCGCAAGCCUGAUACAGCCAUGCCGCGUGUAUGAAGAAGGCCUUCGGGUUGUAAAGCACUUUCAGCGGGGAGGCGUUACCCGCAGAAGAAGCACCGGCUAACUCCGUGCCAGCAGCCGCGGUAAUAC